CCCAGCUGACGAGUCCCAAAUAGGACGAAAUGCGCGACCUGGAU
rnacentral:hammerhead_ribozyme from 1 species